GCAUGAAAGCAAUGUGUUGCCUGAUAAACUCUCAAGCAGCUCGUGAAAAGAGUCAUGCUAUAGGUCUGAAUGAGGGGAUUGCAGCAGGUGUUUUAGAGACAACCCCGUGCGAUCCCUCCUUCCCGGACAAUGUGCUUGUCCUGUCUCUCAUGAGGUCUGCCUGGUAGAGAACAGAGUCCAGCCUCUACCCCACAGCCGGCAAGGAACCUUGGUCUCAUAAACCAGAGGAACUGAAUCCUGUCAACCACUUCACGGGAUAGUUGUCGCACUUGCACAGAUAGCUGUGCAGAGGUGGACACGGAGAGCCUCGUCACACACACGGGUGUAAUAAAUCAUCACCACCAUCUACACCGAACCGCGAUGGCCGCGCUUGCUCACUCCAGCAGACGUAAAAAAGAACACGCUCUUGAUUUUGUGGCAAUGCCACUAUUACCAUUUCUAGAAAAUCCAGUAAAAUUAUUUUGAAAAUUAAGGGAAAUUUUACAGAUAACAUAACCCCAAUUCAAAGUGGAGUGGUGCCUUGGUAAAGUCACAGGUUACAAAUUUUCCCUAAUUAAUCUUUGGCCUUUAGUUCUGUUGGCUUGUAGCAAGUUUUAAGCUUAUUUUAAAAACAGGUGUGUAACCUCUUUUGCCCUAAUGCAUUCGCUUUUAGCAGUCCUUGGUUGGAAACUACGGUGGUAUGAAAGUAUUUGGUGGUGACUACCAAAGAUAAAAUACAAUUCCUGUUGAUACCUUCUUCAAAAAGAAAAAAAAUCUAGAAUUUUUGUACAUGUCCUAGAGGCAUCUCUAAUGAUCAUCAAACAUCCUGGAAUUUUGGAUGCCACUAAAUGUGCAACCCACUUCCUGGGCUGUGGCCCUAGAUCAUUGAGGGCUAGAAUCAUUAGGCAUCAUGAUAAGUAAUUUCCUACAAGCACAAUUGUCUUUUUCAUUUAGUACCAUACCUACGUGCCUUUAGAUGCUGAAAGAGUCUGCUUAUCAAUCUUUAACCUUCUUUCCCAUGAUGGGCCAGAGGACACAUUUACUAGGCAUGACCAUUCUAUUCCUAGCCUCAAGUUCUAACACAGCAGCGCUCCAUGAGUCCCAUUGAUCCAACUAUGGUCGGGGUUUAUCAUUUCAAAUUGCACAAACGUCUCUUAAUUCACGUCUUAUGUAACCUGCAACUCAAACAUAAAAAAUGUAAACAACUCAGAUAUGAAGAUCAAGAAUUAUCAUUUAGAAGUCCUGUAGUGUCUCAGUGGGUUAAGAACUGGACACUGUCUCCAUGAGGAUGC